CAUAAGCGGAGGAAAAGAAACUAACAAGGAUUCCCCUAGUAGCGGCGAGCGAAGCGGGAAGAGCUCAAAUUUAUAAUCUGGCACCUUCGGUGUCCGAGUUGUAAUCUCUAGAAAUGUUUUCCGCGUUGGACCGCACACAAGUCUGUUGGAAUACAGCGGCAUAGUGGUGAGACCCCCGUAUAUGGUGCGGACGCCCAGCGCUUUGUGAUACAUUUUCGAAGAGUCGAGUUGUUUGGGAAUGCAGCUCAAAUUGGGUGGUAAAUUCCAUCUAAAGCUAAAUAUUGGCGAGAGACCGAUAGCGAACAAGUACCGUGAGGGAAAGAUGAAAAGCACUUUGGAAAGAGAGUUAACAGUACGUGAAAUUGUUGGAAGGGAAACGCUUGAAGUCAGACUUGCUUGCCGAGCAAUCGGUUUGCAGGCCAGCAUCAGUUUUCCGGGAUGGAUAAUGGUAGAGAGAAGGUAGCAGUUUCGGCUGUGUUAUAGCUCUCUGCUGGAUACAUCUUGGGGGACUGAGGAACGCAGUGUGCCUUUGGCGGGGGUUUCGACCUCUUCACACUUAGGAUGCUGGUGGAA
rnacentral:rRNA from 1 species